rnacentral:tRNA from 1 species
UGCCUUGUGGUGUAACGGUAGCACAUCGGAUUCUGGUUCCGCUUGUCUGGGUUCGAAUCCUAGCAAGGCAAC